rnacentral:lncRNA from 1 species
AUAUAUAUAUAUAUAUAUGGGGUUUGUUAACACGCGUACGUCUGUUUUUCAGUUGGUACGUUUUAACAAUGUGUACCGGAUUAUACUAGACAAAAAUACCCUCAUUUAUCAUGGAUUCUAAAUUUUAAGGUCAAGGAUAUUUAAAUAAUUUUCAUUCUCAAAACUAAAAAAAAAAGAAACCCCCAAACCCUUACUCACUUCCCUCAUUCCUCUCAACCCUUCCUUUUUCAUCUCUCUCACUCCAACAUUUUCUCUCUCAUCCCUAUUGCCCCAAUUGAAAAAAAAAAAAUCAGAAACCCUUGCCUAACCCUAAUCCACCUUCCUCACUUAUCCAAUUUGUUUCUCUCUCGUCUCCAUACUCUCCUUCAGCCACACACAACAACCCAUGACAUCGUAAUUUGUUGUUUUUGCUCUCCUUCAGCCACACACAACAACCCGUGACAUCGUAAUUUGUUGCUUUUGCUCUGUUCGUUCA